rnacentral:rRNA from 1 species
GACGAACGCUGGCGGCGUGCUUAACACAUGCAAGUCGAACGGAAAGGCCCUGCUUUUGUGGGGUGCUCGAGUGGCGAACGGGUGAGUAACACGUGAGUAACCUGCCCUUGACUUUGGGAUAACUUCAGGAAACUGGGGCUAAUACCGGAUAGGAGCUCCUGCUGCAUGGUGGGGGUUGGAAAGUUUCGGCGGUUGGGGAUGGACUCGCGGCUUAUCAGCUUGUUGGUGGGGUAGUGGCUUACCAAGGCUUUGACGGGGAGCCGGCCUGAGAGGGUGACCGGCAACAUUGGGACUGAGAUACGGCCCAGACUCCUACGGGAGGCAGCAGGGGGGAAUAUUGCACAAUGGGCGGAAGCCUGAUGCAGCAACGCCGCGUGCGGGAUGACGGCCUUCGGGUUGUAAACCGCUUUCGCCUGUGACGAAGCGUGAGUGACGGUAAUGGGUAAAGAAGCACCGGCUAACUACGUG